rnacentral:rRNA from 1 species
GCUUGUCUCAAAGAUUAAGCCAUGCAUGUCUAAGUAUAAGCCUUUAUAUGGUGAGACUGCGAAUGGCUCAUUAAAUCAGAAACUGUUUAUUUGAUAGUGCCUACUACAUGGAUACCUGUAGUAAUUCUAGAGCUAAUACAUGCGCAAAUACCCAACUGCUUGUCGGACGGGUAGCAUUUAUUAGAUUGAAACCAAUGCAGUCUUCGGGCUGGUAUUGUGUUGAGUCAUAAUAACUGUGCGGAUCGCGUUUUACGCGAUAAAUCGAUUGAGUUUCUGCCCUAUCAGCUUUGGAUGGUAGGAUAUGGGCCUACCAUGGCAUUAACGGGUAACGGGGAAUUAGGGUUUGAUUCCGGAGAGGGAGCCUUAGAAACGGCUACCACAUCCAAGGAAGGCAGCAGG